rnacentral:sRNA from 1 species
AGAAGUUUGAACCCAUACAAUUUCGGAGA